UAGGCCAAAAUUGCUGGACUCAGAUUGU
rnacentral:piRNA from 1 species